rnacentral:misc_RNA from 1 species
AAUAUGAAAUCCUCUUGCAACUUCAAAUUCAAUUACCCUUUUAUAGUUACAUUUUCCCAAAAAAAAAAUUGUUUAUUUAUUUUUUUCUUUUUUCUCAACUUGGAAAAGGCAGAAGCGGGGACGACAUGCUGCCAGAUUGUCAAGGGGCAAGUUUAACAAUGAAAAAGUCAUUCGUGUCGUUAAAUAACAGGUUUAAGAAUAGUAUUUCCUUUUAUUUGAUAGGGGACAAUAUUAGAUAAUACAUGAAGUAUUUACAGCAUGAAUGAUUGCCCAGACACCAGAUGCACUUAGCAACACCAGUUGAUUGCAAGAUUGUACAGCAAUUUCUAAUAGGUUAAGGUUGCAUAUGAGUAGUAGCAUGACCGAAGGUCUUCUCACUGCUGUAACACAUGUACAGAAAUCCAUCCUCGUCCUUGAAGGAUUCAUAGAUAGAGUACAUUAGAGCAGCUGUAGAUCGUUACACAAAACAUAUCGGCAAUUUCUUACUAAAAGUUCAUGCAGAAGAAUUUCAUAAGUUAGACAUAAUAUGUGACUGCAAGUUCACCUGUCUGAGGUAAGGUAUCCUUGACGAACACAAAAAGAGCUUUUCCAGUUGUCAAAUGAAGCCUGCUACUUAGUACAUGAAUGAAUUGCCCUACAGACAUGUCUCGAGGAACCAGAUAUUUUUUCUUUUCCAUUUCAGGAAGGUCAGUUUUGCAAUACCUCUCAACAAUUACCUGCAAGAUAAUAAAAAAAACCAAAAUUUUCAUGUAAUCACAUUACAGCACAGCUAGGAAUAGUUCAGUGAUUUCCAAUGUCCAAAGCACUCAACUAGAUCCAGACCCAUAGUUCCAAACGAGAAAACAACUCAACCAACCCAUGACAGCUAUGUCAUUCCUAUACAAAUUUAGCUUACCAUCUAAAAUUAGCUUACCAGCAACCUAGCUCCUCCUCAAGCCAACAUGUAUUAUCAUUAAUGCCUAAAAAGGUGUUGAGUCACUAAUACAGUAGUUAAAGACAGCUCGAAUUCAGAAGGCAAAAGGCCUAAUUUCUCAAUAACACAAAAACUUGAGGAGUCAUCCUUUAAGUUGACCUCAUUGUUGCAAAUGCUAGAUUUUUUUGGGGAAUUGGCAAAUGCUAGAAUUAUGUGAGCUAAUAUAGCAUGAUAUGAUAACAUGUUUAAUUGAAAAUUACUAAAAAAAAAAUACCAAAAAAUGAAGGCUAAUAAAUAUGAUAAAAAUACUGAUAUUAAAUAUCUAUGCUUUUGAAAAACAACACUACCAUCAUGUUGAUAAGAAAUGUCCAAACAAAUCAUUAAGCAAACACAAGAGUAUAGCAAUAAUGGACGCAAAGAUCCAAAUUUGAAAUUUGAUUGGCACAGCUAAAAGGCAAUUUGGCCAAUAGAAAUAAAGAAAAACUAAGGAUUGAUAGUUGUGAAGUUACGGGAACUCGGUCUGGGUAUUUGGCAAUAAUAUCACGAGAUUCUUCACGUCUUUGCUCGAAAGUGAACUCGUCCUUGAAUGACUUGUCUUUCCCCAUUAUUAAUCGGUAUGUCUGGAAGCGAUGGAUAGAGAGAGAGAGAGAGAAGAAACGGAUAGAGCACGGAACACGAUACAGAUGAUUAGGUGUGCGGUCUGCGGUGUCAGAAACUGCAAGAUGAAGAAGAAAAGACCAGCCCAUCCCUUUCCAGCAAUUCUAGCUUCUCGGCCCAUUAAUUCUAGCUUCUACUUACAGCCCAUUUGAUAAUUGGCUCUUAUUCACAUCAAAACCUCAUUGUCAUUUGUUGAACUCAAACGACUCGUCCUCAACCCUCGCUAAACCCUCAGCUUAUUCAAAGCAAAGUUUGCAGUCGACCACAGAAGGAGCGGCAGCCAUGACGGAGCAGCAAGAGAAGUGGCGCCUUGUCAGUGGGCAAUACCUCGGCGAAAUCUCUGCUGUUUGUUUUCUUCACCUACCUUCUCAUCUCUCUUCUCUUCCUUAUCUCCUUGCUGGUACGCUUUUUGCCUUCAAAUUCCAACUCUCUCUUCACUCUCUUACUCUUCGAAGCUACUUCCUCACUAAAACAAAUUUGAGACCUUGUUUAGCUACAUAUUCUUCAAAUUUGAGAUUUUUUUUUUAUGAUCUUUUUAUUCAUAUAUCUCGCUUCUUUUUUUCAAACAGGCACAGGCUCUCAUAUGCUGUUUUAUAAUUUAGAAGCGGUAAAGAUAAUAGAAUCAUUUCAAGUGUUUCAAGGAAUUCGUGUGCAUGGAAUCACUUGUGGCUUCGUUGAUUACCCAGAAGGAUCAUCUUCUUCAAGGCUUGAUUUCAAAGUUGUUGUCUUUGGUGAAAAGAGAGUGAAACUUUUUAACUUGCAUAUUGAAAUAGCAUUGAAGUCCCAAAAUCAACCACAAGUUUGUGUAGAUUUAGCUUUACUUCACUCCUUGCCCAGGUUUAGCUAUUGGGUCUUGGACGUUUUCUUUUUGAAGAAUCAUGCAGCCACUUCAAAUGAGGAGGGAAACCAUUGCCUUGCCAUCGGAUGCAGUGAUAACUCUGUCCGUAUCUGGGAUAUCUCAAGGUCUAGCGUAAUUCUUGAAGUCCAAUCUCCAGAAAGAUGCCUUCUGUAUUCCAUGCGGUUGUGGGGAGACAAUCUGGAAACUCUACGAAUUGCUUCUGGUACCAUAUACAAUGAGAUCAUUAUUUGGAAAGUGGUUCCUCAGCACGGUGCCCUACCUUUGACAAUUACCUUGGAAGAUCACAUGCCUUUAAAGAAUUCGUGUUCCAAGGCUUUCCAUCUUCACUGCCAGCAGCAUAAAGCAGUCCAUAUAAGUAGACUUAUUGGCCAUGAAGGUUCAAUAUUUCGCAUAGUAUGGUCCUCUGAUGGAUCCAAACUGGUUUCAGUCUCUGAUGAUCGCAGUUAAGGCUGAACAAAAAGAUUCCAGUAACCAAGAGGGGGAAAUUGCUGGCCCUGUGUUAUUUGGCCAUAAUGCUAGGAUUUGGGACUGCUGUAUCUCUGGUUCUUUAAUUGUCACUGCUGGUGAAGAUUGCACAUGCCGUGUAUGGAGAUUGGAUGGUAAACAGCUCAACUUGAUCAAGGAGCAUAUAGGGAGAGGCAUAUGGAGAUGUUUGUAUGAUCCAAACUCUUCACUUCUCAUUACUGCCGGAUUUGACUCUGCGAUCAAAGUACAUCGACUGCCUGCUUCUUUUCCCCAGAGCUUGGAAGGACAAAGUGAACCAAAGUUCAUUGAUAGAACAGAGAUAUUUACUAGUCAAAUCCCAAAUUCAUCUGAGCAUAUUGGUCUCAUGAACAGUAAAAGUGAAUAUGUACGUUGCUUGCAUUUCACAUGUGGAGAUGUUCUUUACGUUGCCACAAACCAUGGUUAUCUGUAUCAUGCCCAAUUGUUUCAAACCCAGGGUGUUAAAUGGACUAAACUUGUCCAGGUCGGUGAGAAGGUACCAAUUGUUUGUAUGGAUUUGCUGAACAAAAAGUUGCCCAGGCAGUCUUGUGGUGUUGAUGAUUGGGUUGCUUUGGGAGAUGGUAAAGGAAAUAUUACAGUUAGUAGAGUUAUGGGCAAUGCUGAAACUCCUGUCGCAGACUUAACUUGUACUUGGUCAGCUGGAAAAGAGAGACAACUAUUAGGGACCCAUUGGUGCAAGGCAUUGGGAUAUAGGUUCAUCUUUACUGCUGAUCCUAGAGGAGUUCUGAAGCUGUGGAAGUUACAUGAUCCUUUACUUGUUGUUUCCCACACUUCUGCAAGAACUUUUGAUGUAUCGGUUGUAGCUGAAUUCACAUCAUCUUUCGGAAUUCGGAUAACGUGUUUAGAUGCGUCUUCUGAGGAUGAGGUUCUAGUUUGUGGGGAUCUUCGUGGAAAUCUAAUUGUUUUUCCUUUGUACAAGGGCUUGUUGCUGGACGCAUGUACUGCACCUGAAAUAAAAAUAUUUCCGCUAUGUUUCUUUAAAGGGGCUCAUGGAAUAUCAACUGUAUCCAGCAUUUCAAUAUCUAAAUUAAGCUCCAAUGAGAUUGAAGUAUGCUCGACUGGAGGAGAUGGUUGCCUAUGCUAUUUCGAAUAUGACCGAGAUCGACAAAGCUUGGAGUUUAUAGGGAUGAAACAAGUGAAAGGAUUGAGUUUGAUUGAAUCUGUAUCUAACAAUAACAGUUCUCCUUAUGAUUUAGCAAACUGUGGUUACGCAAUUGGUUUUGCUUCAACAGAUUUCAUAAUAUGGAACCUUGCAACUCAGGCAAAGGUUUUGCAAAUUCCUUGUGGUGGAUGGCGACGUCCUCAUUGUUAUUAUCUUAGUGAUGUACCAGAGAUAGACACCUAUUUUGCAUAUGUUAAGGAUGAAGUAAUAUAUAUUCAUCGACAAUGGAUACCGGAAAGUGAGAUGAAGAUAUUUCCCCAGAAUUUGCAUAUCCAGUUUCAUGGGAGAGAGAUGCACUCCUUGUGCUUUGUAUGUGAAAAUGCGCCUACUGAAGCUAAUGGGAAGAAUGGUCUUUUUGAUAAAUGCAGUUGGAUUGCUACUGGGUGUGAAGAUGGAACUGUGAGGUUGACUAGAUAUACUCCUGGAGUUGAAAGCUGGUCCACAUCAAAAUUGCUUGGGGAACAUGUUGGUGGAUCAGCAGUGAGAUCAAUAUGCUUUGUGUCAAAGAUGCACAUAAUUCCUUCAGAUAUGACCAACUUAUCUGACUGGAGAAAUAAACAAAGUGCUUUUGCAGAGGACACAGAGAAUCCAUUUUUACUGAUCUCUGUUGGUGCAAAGCGGGUCCUAACAUCUUGGCUACUGAGAAAUAGGAUGCUAGACAAGAAGAGAAACCCAUUUAUUGAACAAGAAAAAAACAAAGACGGAAAUGCAUACUUGCCUUGUAUAAGUGAUUCCUCUUCAAUGUCAUUCAAGUGGCUUUCCACUGACAUGCCUACCAAAAAUUCCACUACUCAUAGGAAAACAAAAAAUAUUGACAAAAUAGGAGGAAUGACCAAAAAUGUUGCUAACAUGGAAAUUGAUGUAAAGUCUGUGUCUCUUUUACAAGAAAAGGGUGAGACAGAAUCAAAAGGUUUCCUUGAUGAUAAAGAUGAAGAUGACUGGAGAUACCUGGCUGUCACUGCUUUUCUUGUGAAGUGUACUGGUUCCAGAUUAACUGUCUGUUUUAUCGCUGUUGCUUGUUCGGAUGCCACACUUGCAUUGCGAGCUCUUGUUUUACCACAUCGGUUAUGGUUUGAUGUUGCUUUAUUGGUCCCACUGUUAUCACCAGUCUUGUCAUUGCAGCAAGUUGUCAUUCCUACACACCUGCCUUCUGGAGAAACCACUUGGAUUGGAAAUGUGUACAUUGUGAUAAGUGGAGCAACUGACGGAAGCAUUGCUUUUUGGGAUCUGACUGACUGCAUUGAAUCUUUUAUGAGGCAGUUGUCAGUCCUUGACAUAAAAAAACUCAAAAAUUGUCAGACACGGCCACGUACAGGAAGAGGAAGUCAGGGUGGACGAUGGUGGAGAUCGCUAAAAAGUACCAUGUCUAAGCAAAAACUAGCUGAUGAUUUAGUUGCUCCUAAAGCCGAGGAGAGGACUAGCUGCAAUUUGGUUAACCAUUCAACAGGUGGAGCAUCAACGAGUGAUGCUGAAAGCUGCACAACAGUUUGUUCUCAAACUAUGCAUGAUAAACCUCCUCUUGAGCCAGGAGUGAAUAAUGUUGAUUCCACACCUGGGAUAAGUGAAAUACAGCCCCUACAUGUUCUCAAUAAUGUUCACCAAUCUGGUGUAAAUUGUCUCCAUGUUUCAAACAUACAAGAUUCUAGAAGUUAUGACUCCGAUGUUUUGUUCAGUUUAAUAAGUGGGGGUGAUGAUCAAACCCUUCACUGUAUCAAAUUUGAUUUGUCACUGCUAACAACAGGCAAGGAUUCUGAGAUCAACAUAAAGGAUUCUGCUCAUUGUAGUGAAUUCCCUAUCAAGAAGUAUAGAAUCAGAUUCUUAUGUCAUGAUAGAGUCACCUCAGCUCAUAGCUCUGCCAUAAAAGUUGUUAAGAUAUUUGAACCCUGUGGGAAGAAUGAGCAAGGUUUUUGUGAAGGAACUUGUGCAAGCAUCUUUUAUGGCUACUGAACGAUUGGCAUUGGUUUUUAUUUCAUAAAGGUGUUUGGACGGACGGCACAUGGGUGUUUUCAACUGGGCUUGAUCAGCGCAUCAGAUGCUGGGUUCUGAAGGAACACUGUAAAUUGAUUGAGCAAACUCAUUUAGUAGUGAGUGUGCCGGAGCCAGAAGCAUUAUGUGCCAGAGCCUGUGAAAGGAACCAGUAUGAAAUUGUGGUUGCUGGAAGAGGAAUGCAAAUGGUUGAGUUCUUGGCAUCCUAGUCAUGGAUGUUACAAUUGGUACUGGCAAUUCUGUGUGAUUCCAAUCGAAGGUUUUGACAUUGAAGUUAAUUAUGUAGUAUGUACUGGCGCAUAUUAUUCUUGCUCCUUUUUUAACGGCCCUAGUGCUGUUACUCGUUCCUGACACCCUAGACUCAGUGAGAAGAGGUCUUCAAUGCCCAAAAUUGCAUAUUUGUUCAACCAAUUAUCAAGUUCUGGGUUGCUAUCUGAGCUUUGCUGAUUCACAAUUCUUUUUUGUAUUAUUAAAGUAUUGUACGCAUUUAGGUUUGGGCGGAAAUUCUGAGAAGCAGCUCAAAAUUAUUCAUCUCCACUGGAUCUUAACCAAAAUAAAGGUUGAGGUUCCUUUUGAGGGUUCUUUAUUGAUUUUGAUAUCUGUAAAAGUUAUUUAAGCUCUUCCUUAGGAAAUUUGGAUUUUUGUACUAUGUUUCAUCAUCAAAUUUAAUACAUUCUUGGCAUUAAUACACGAUCGUAUGUUACGUGACAGAAUAUCAGUAGCUACUAGCUAAAUCUAGAUCCUUAACAAGCAACUUUGGGCACACAACUCGCUUUCCACAGACUAAGUUGGUGGCCUAUGCCCAGGCAUUGUUUUUCACUUUCACAUGGUCAGCAAGGUUCUCUAGAGGUCCUUUCCCGGUAAACAAUAGCCUGCACAAAGAAACCAAACGCGCAGAACAUGGAAAGCCGCCCGUUCUUAAUUUUUUUUUUUUUUUGUCAUUGUGCUCUGCCAAUGCAUCAGGAUCGUCAGCAUGUCCCAAAGGAUCAAAGAUUCCUCCUGGGUACUAGGUAUCGCGUCAGUGACCUCACCAAGGGGUUCCCCAGCAAUGCGAUACAUGAGGACUACCUGGGUAACCCAUGGAUGAGGCUGGGAAUCCCCAAGUAGUCAAGAUCAGAGUCGCUGAAAAUUUGAGCACCAGCCUUGAAAAGCACUGCUUCGCCAAACUCAACUCCGUCCUGGCAAGAUGCUCUGGGAACAAACAUCCCAAAGCUCCAAGCAUUGCCCACCUGCAAUGAAUCACCUCGAGCUCUCGAAUUCUAGCAAAGGUUUCAGGGUCAGCUGACAGCCCUGCAGCGUCCCAACCAGAGUCACCUGGGAAUUCAAGGCUCAAGUAAGGAUGGAAGCUCACCAGAGAGUGGGCCAAGGUACUUGACACGAUCAAGAUCAUACCAGGAGCCUCCAGAGGAAAAGCCGUCAAGUUGGCUUGCUUGAUGAAUGAAAGUGGGAUGUAAAGGUAUAAUAGGGUGUGGUGAGGCCCACAAUCCUAUCCAUGUAAAUCAUCAUCCUCUUCCGGAUUGGCUAAUGAGCUGAUUACAUGGAAACAAAAAUCCUGAUGACCAUCCCAGCAAUGGGUGAAAGGUAGCACGGAUUUUGCAGAAAUCAUUAAUUGAGAGAUAAUCCACAAUUUCAUUAAUGUGGUACUUAUUGCAAUCUAGAAUAUUCAUAAUUUCACAAACCGGAGCGUCUUCAUCUUCAUUUAAAAUCACUUGUACAUUCGAUGGA